AGAGUUUGAUCCUGGCUCAGGACGAACGCUGGCGGCGUGCUUAACACAUGCAAGUCGAACGAGAGGAAGAGAGAAGCUUGCUUCUUUCUGAAUCGAGUGGCAAACGGGUGAGUAACACGUAAACAACCUGCCUUCAGGAUGGGGACAACAGACGGAAACGACUGCUAAUACCGAAUACGUUCUUUGAGUCGCAUGACUUAAGGAAGAAAGGGUGGCCUCUACUUGUAAGCUAUCGCCUGAAGAGGGGUUUGCGUCUGAUUAGGUAGUUGGUGAGGUAACGGCCCACCAAGCCGACGAUCAGUAGCCGGUCUGAGAGGAUGAACGGCCACACUGGAACUGAGACACGGUCCAGACUCCUACGGGAGGCAGCAGUGGGGAAUCUUCCGCAAUGGGCGAAAGCCUGACGGAGCAACGCCGCGUGAGUGAUGACGGCCUUCGGGUUGUAAAGCUCUGUGAUCGGGGACGAACGGUCGAUGGGAUAAUACUCCAUUGAAGUGACGGUACCCGAAUAGCAAGCCACGGCUAACUACGUGCCAGCAGCCGCGGUAAUACGUAGGUGGCAAGCGUUGUCCGGAAUUAUUGGGCGUAAAGCGCGCGCAGGCGGUUUACUAAGUCCAUCUUAAAAGUGCGGGGCUUAACCCCGUGAUGGGAUGGAAACUGGUAGACUGGAGUAUCGGAGAGGAAAGUGGAAUUCCUAGUGUAGCGGUGAAAUGCGUAGAGAUUAGGAAGAACACCGGUGGCGAAGGCGACUUUCUGGACGACAACUGACGCUGAGGCGCGAAAGCGUGGGGAGCAAACAGGAUUAGAUACCCUGGUAGUCCAUACCGUAAACGAUGAUUACUAGGUGUUGGAGGAUUGACCCCUUCAGUGCCGCAGUUAACACAAUAAGU
rnacentral:rRNA from 1 species